UAAUUUUUGGGCCCAUUGAGAUAUCCUUAAUUAUAUAUGGUGGAAGUUUGGGCCGAUAUUAAGCCAUCCCUCAAUAUCAAAACAGGAUAAGUAAUACAAUGUAUGUACAUGGUAUGAGAGGCAGCGGGUCACCUUGGCUGAACUGUUUGGGAUAAUAUCCAAGGAUGCUUGUAUAGUGAUGGUGCAGAAAUUCAUCAUUGUGACUACCACUCACUGUGAUGUCAUCAUUACAUCUUUUUUCUUGACCUGGAGCACGCAUGAAAGAGGAGACUGAAAACUGGGCUUUAUCAUUCCCAUACAAUUCCUUAAAUCCAGCUACCACAACUCCAUGAAAGUCCAAAAUUUUACAAGCAUGGGAGAAUUUGGUCCUUAUCGUUUGCACUCUUGCAUUUGUUUGGACCAGCGAUUGAUCGAAGGGGUAUGUAACCUAUUUGGUUAGGGAGGAUGGGUGCAGCUGUGCUGUACAUGUUCCAGCCAACAAGGUGUUAAAGCUUCAGGAUUAACCAUUUGUAUGCUCGCAUAUAUGGGUGCAGCUGUGUCUUUAUUGAGAGAAGAACAU